UACGUAGGGAGCAAGCGUUGUCCGGAAUCAUUGGGCGUAAAGCGCGCGUAGGCGGCUUCGUAAGUCCGUUGUGAAAGUCAAAGGCUCAACCUUUGAAUGCCGAUGGAUACUGCGGAGCUAGAGUACGGAAGAGGCGAGUGGAAUUCCUGGUGUAGCGGUGGAAUGCGCAGAUAUCAGGAGGAACACCAAUAGCGAAGGCAGCUCGCUGGGACGUUACUGACACUAAGGCGCGAAAGCGUGGGGAGCGAACAGG
rnacentral:rRNA from 1 species